rnacentral:ncRNA from 3 species
UCCAUCGCGAGGUGGAAUCUGAAGGAAGCCGGAGGCAAACCCUCGGUCUGACGAACAGAAAUCGAGGGGCCAGUACUGCCCGAACGAAACCCGUCAUGUAAAUGUGGCAGAUGGAUAACGCGAAGACUAUCGCU